CGCGAAUUCGCCCUUCGGGGUGCACCAGGCGCGAAAACUUUACAAUGCUGGCAACAGCGAUAAGGGGACCUCGAGUGCCAGGAUACAAUCCUGGCUGUCGUAAUGCCUAAAAAGCAUUGCAUAGCAAGGGCCGGGCAAGACCGGUGCCAGCCGCCGCGGUAACACCGGCGGCUCGAGUGGUAACCGCUAUUAUUGGGUCUAAAGGGUCUGUAGCCGGCUGACUAAGUCUCUUGGGAAAUCUGGCAGCUCAACUGUCAGGCUUUCAGGAGAUACUGAUCGGCUCGAGACCGGGAGAGGCGAGAGGUACCUCAGGGGUAGGGGUGAAAUCUUGUAAUCCUUGAGGGACCACCAGUGGCGAAGGCGUCUCACCAGAACGGAUCUGGCGGCAAGGGACGAAAGCUAGGGGCACGAACCGGAUUAGAUACCCGGGUAGUCCUAGCCGUAAACGAUACUCGCUAGGUGUCGGCCACGGUGCGACCGUGGUCGGUGCCGUAGGGAAGCCGUGAAGCGAGCCACCUGGGAAGUACGGCCGCAAGGCUGAAACUUAAAGGAAUUGGCGGGGGAGCAC
rnacentral:rRNA from 1 species